AUGGAAAUUCCAGGGGCAUCAUCUCGGUGCUCCAUGGCCAUGUCGUCAACCUCACUGCUAAAGCGAUCCUGUGGCAUAGCACAGUCGCGAAAAGGGUGCCGCUACGACCCAGAGAGAGCCGGCGUCGGGAUUGUCUCGGCUAUUAUGGAACCAACCAAUGCACGCCUACACAUCGUCGGGCCUCUCAUCCACACCAACGCACGUGAGAUCCUACAGGUUACACUACCAAACCUUAUUUGGAGCAAUAGGAGGCCAUUCCGAGCAGCCAUACUGUCAUGCGGUCUAUGCCGCAACUGGAUCGGUAGUGGCACCGUCUACAUGUACAAAGGUGAGAUGGGAUUCUGUAAACCGGAGUGUGUCAACGACUAUAUUGUGGAGCAAUUGGAAAAACAGACACGGAGGCUGAGGUGGUGUCAAAGAGAAAAGGUCCCACCAAUGGAGGACGAUAAGGAAGGCAAUCAGAGCUCCAUGUUUUUCACCUGUGCUGGCAAACUAUGA
rnacentral:rRNA from 1 species